UUGCCUGGUUCAAGUAAUCCAGGAUAGGUUAGUUCCCACUAGUACGGCCUAUUCUUGGUUACUUGUUUCAGGAGG
rnacentral:pre_miRNA from 8 species